GGCCCCUUAGUCUAGCGGUAAGGACGCAUGGUUCUCAGCCAUGAAUCAGGGGUUCAACUCCCCUAGGGGCUACCA
rnacentral:tRNA from 1 species